UAGCCGCAGAAAGCUGUGCUAAGGUAGCAUAAUCAUUUGUCUUUUAAUUUAAGACUAGAAUGAACGGUUAAACGAAUAAAAAAUUGUCCUUGCUUAAUUUCAUAAAACUAUACUUUUUAUAAAAAUAUAAAAAUACCAAAAGAAGACGACAAGACCCUAUUGAACUUUACUCAAGUUCUACUGGGGCAGUAUAUUAACAAUUGUUUUAAACUUUAUCCUUUACAUUUAUCUUUUAAACCACAAAUCAAGUUACCAUAGGGAUAACAGCGCAAUUUACUUUUAUAGCUCUUAUAAAAAAAUAAGAUUACGACCUCGAUGUUGAAUUAAUUAACCUUCUCGAAGCAAAAAUCUAAAAGGAAGACUGUUCGUCUAUUAAAUUAUUACAUGAUCUG
rnacentral:rRNA from 1 species